GGACUACUGGGGUAUCUAAUCCCGUUCGCUCCCCUAGCUUUCGCGCCUCAGCGUCAGUAGAGAUCCAGUGCGUCGCUUUCGCCACCGGCGUUCCUUCUGAUAUCUACGCAUUUCACCGCUCCACCAGAAGUUCCACGCACCCCUACCUCCCUCUAGCCCGCCAGUAUCAAAGGCACUUUUCCGGUUGAGCCGAAAGAUUUCACCCCUGACUUGGCAAGCCGCCUACGCGCCCUUUAAGCCCAGUGAAUCCGAACAACGUUCGCACGGUUCGUCUUACCGCGGCUGCUGGCAC
rnacentral:rRNA from 1 species